GUUACCGCUAUCGGAGUUCGAUUAAGCCAUGCGAGUCUAAAGGUUUCUUCGGAAACCUUGGCGGACUGCUCAGUAACACGUGGAUAACCUACCCUUGGGACUGGAAUAACCCCGGGAAACUGGGGAUAAUACCGGAUAGAUCAGGGAUGCUGGAAUGCGCCUUGAUCCAAAGCUCCGGCGCCCAAGGAUGGGUCUGCGGCCUAUCAGGUUGUAGUGGGUGUAACGUACCUACUAGCCGACGACGGGUACGGGUUGUGAGAGCAAGAGCCCGGAGAUGGAUUCUGAGACACGAAUCCAGGCCCUACGGGGUGCAGCAGGCGCGAAAACUUUACAAUGUGCGAAAGCAUGAUAAGGGAACUCCGAGUGCCAGUAUCUAAUACUGGCUGUCCUUGUGCCUAAAACGCACAAGAUAGCAAGGGCCGGGUAAGACCGGUGCCAGCCGCCGCGGUAACACCGGCGGCCCGAGUGGUAGCCGCUAUUAUUGGGUCUAAAGGGUCCGUAGCCGGUUCGAUAAGUCUUCUGGGAAAUCUGGUUGCUUAACAAUCAGACUGCCAAGGGAUACUGUCGAACUUGAGACCGGGAGAGGUAAGAGGUACUUCAGGGGUAGGAGUGAAAUCUUGUAAUCCCUGGGGGACCAUCUGUGGCGAAGGCGUCUUACCAGAACGGGUCUGACGGUGAGGGACGAAAGCUGGGGGCGCAAACCGGAUUAGAUACCCGGGUAGUCCCAGCCGUAAACGAUGCUCGCUAUGUGUCAGGUACGGUGUGACCGUAUCUGGUGCCGUAGGGAAGCCGUGAAGCGAGCCACCUGGGAAGUACGGUCGCAAGACUGAAACUUAAAGGAAUUGGCGGGGGAGCACUACAACGGGUGGAGCCUGCGGUUUAAUUGGAUUCAACGCCGGA
rnacentral:rRNA from 1 species